rnacentral:rRNA from 1 species
CAUGCAAGUCGAGCGGUAACAGACAUAAAGAUUCAGCUUGCUGAAUCUGGUGCUGACGAGCGGCGAACGGGUGAGUAACGCGUAGGAAUCUACCCAGUAGCGGGGGAUAGCCCGAGGAAACUCGGAUUAAUACCGCAUACGCCCUGAGGGGGAAAGGGGGCAGUUUACUGCUCUCACUAUUGGAUGAGCCUGCGUAAGAUUAGCUUGUUGGUGGGGUAAUGGCCUACCAAGGCGACGAUCUUUAGCUGGUCUGAGAGGACGAUCAGCCACAUUGGGACUGAGACACGGCCCAGACAUCUACGGAUGGCAGCAGUUAAGAAUAUUGGACAAUGGGGGCAACCCUGAUCCAGGUAUACCGCGUGUGUGAAGAAGGCCCUAGGGUUGUAAAGCACUUUAAUCAGAGAAGAAGCAUUUUAAGUUAAUACCUUAAUAUGUUGACGUUACCUGAAGAAUAAGGACCGGCUAACUCCGUGCCAGCAGCCGCGGUAAUACGGAGGGUCCAAGCGUUAAUCGGAAUUACUGGGCGUAAAGCGCGCGUAGGCGGUUUAGCAAGUUGUAUGUGAAAGCCCUGGGCUCAACCUAGGAACUGCAUCCAAAACUACUAAGCUAGAGUACGAGAGAGGAGAGUAGAAUUUCUGGUGUAGCGGUGAAAUGCGUAGAUAUCAGAAGGAAUACCAAUGGCGAAGGCAGCUCUCUGGCUCGUCACUGACGCUGAGGUGCGAAAGCGUGGGUAGCAAACAGGAUUAGAUACCCUGGUAGUCCACGCCGUAAACGAUGAGAACUAGCCGUUGGGCAGAUUUAACUGUUCAGUGGCACAGCUAACGCAUUAAGUUCUCCGCC